GUGUUGUUAUCACCUGACUUGGCUACUCAGUACCGACGCGCGUGACGCACAACUUCAUGAGCCGUGAAAAAUCUCUAGAUCUAGUCUACGCUGUUUUAAGAGGAGCAGGCAGAUACUUGGUCACUAUCAAGGCAGAGGCGGCACAAGGUGACUGUCAAGAUGAAGAAAGAACUGCAUACAUGUGUACUCCACCGAUUGGGACAAGAGGCUUUUGAUUAUCCUUUGACAAUGUGGCAGAUCAGGAUGAUCCAGUAUACCACUAGCAGCCAAUCUAUGAGAUUCCAUAUGGGAUCCCAUCAAGUACAAGGUGAUGCUGCUUGACACAUGCACUGAGAGGGACCUGGCAGAGGCUAACGGCAUGGCUCUUGGUUUUUCUGAAAUGAUGAUGACCAAGUACACCUGUAGGAGGGUCUAGAGAAAGACAACCAUGUGUAAACAAACAUGAAAUGAGAAGGUCUGCAGAAAUUUAAUUCAGAAGUUACAAGGGGAAUUGAACCAAACGAUGGAGUAUCUAGCAGAACAGACACUUUCCUUGUGAAGAAGCCCACAUUACAACAAAGAUGCUGAUUUACAGAAAAACGUCAAGUACCCUGCAAAAUAAAUAUGAACUAUAUAAAUGUAUUCUUCUUUCCUAUCAUAACGACAUAGUUAUAUCAGGAGUGACAAUUACCAGCGGGACAAUCACCCCCUCAGAAAAUUACCCCCAA
rnacentral:lncRNA from 1 species